rnacentral:rRNA from 1 species
UACAGAGGUCCCGAGCGUUGUUCGGAUUCAUUGGGCGUAAAGGGUGUGUAGGAGGUCUUGUAAGUCGGGCGUGAAAUCUCACCGCUUAACGGUGAAACUGCGUUCGAUACUGCUUGGCUAGAGGAUCGGAGGGGGUAUCGGAAUUCAUGGUGUAGCAGUGAAAUGCGUAGAUAUCAUGAGGAACACCGGUGGCAAAAGCGGAUACCUGGAAGAUUCCUGACUCUGAAACACGAAAGCUAGGGGAGCAAACGGG